CCCCUCUUUAUACAUCUCUCGUUGCCCAUCCCUCUCGUUUUGGGGUUUUGGUUGUUUUGGGUUUUGGGGGUCUGAUACAGUCACAAAACUAACUGAAUCUAUGAUAGCAGCCAUGGCUAACGCAGAGGUCAAUGAUGUCUUAGGUUUCGACCCAACAGCUCAGAAGCUCAUAACCUAAAUGGCAAGAAUUAUGGGGCUGCUGACAAAAUGUGCCGUACAACACGGUCUGCUAGGAAUGUCAAAGAAAACUAUUGAUCGUUGAGUGCAACAAAGUGAUCUGAAAUUGGUGGAAAGCAACUGGCUGAUGGCGAAUAUUGGAGCUGACAAUGUUUUGGGCUAAUCAUGUGUGUUAUAUGAGUUGAAAUACAGUGUGGUUUUGUGUGUUGCAUUAGGUACAAUACAGAUCCAUUGGAACUUCUAUUUUACUUGUACAGUUGUGUGUUGCAUUUUUUAACAGAGUGCAACAUUGAUCUAGUGGCACUUGUAUUUUUCUUUGUACAAUUGUGUUGUUGCAUUUUGUAAUAGUGCAACAUAA